GACGAACGCUGGCGGCGUGCCUAACACAUGCAAGUCGAACGGGGCAGAGAGCUUCGGCUUUCUGCUUAGUGGCGAACGGGUGAGUAACGCGUGAGGAACCUGCCUCUCAGUGGGGGACAACAGUUGGAAACGACUGCUAAUACCGCAUAACACAGCGAAACCGCAUGGUUUUGCUGUCAAAGCUUUAUGUGCUGAGAGAUGGCCUCGCGUCUGAUUAGCUAGUUGGCGGGGUAACGGCCCACCAAGGCGACGAUCAGUAGCCGGUCUGAGAGGAUGAACGGCCACAUUGGGACUGAGAUACGGCCCAGACUCCUACGGGAGGCAGCAGUGGGGAAUAUUGGGCAAUGGGGGAAACCCUGACCCAGCAACGCCGCGUGAAGGAAGAAGGCCUUCGGGUUGUAAACUUCUUUUAGCAGGGACGAAGGACGUGACGGUACCUGCAGAAAAAGCAACGGCUAACUACGUG
rnacentral:rRNA from 1 species